rnacentral:rRNA from 1 species
UACGAAGGGAGCUAGCGUUGUUCGGAAUCACUGGGCGUAAAGCGCACGUAGGCGGAUUUGUCAGUCAGGGGUGAAAUCCCGGGGCUCAACCUCGGAACUGCCUUUGAUACAGCAAGUCUUGAGUUCGAGAGAGGUGGGGUGGAAUUCCUAGUGUAGAGGUGAAAUUCGUAGAUAUUCGCAAGAACACCAGUGGCGAAGGCGGCUCACUGGCCCGGUACUGACGCUGAGGUGCGAAAGCGUGGGGAGCAAACAGG